AACGCGAAGAACCUUACCCAGACUUGACAUAUAGUGGACGAUGGCAGAGAUGUCAUUUCCCGCAAGGGUCGCUAUACAGGUGCUGCAUGGCUGUCGUCAGCUCGUGCCGUGAGGUGUUGGGUUAAGUCCCGCAACGAGCGCAACCCUUAUUGUUAGUUGCCAACACGUGAUGGUGGGUACUCUAGCGAGACUGCCUAGGUUAACUAGGAGGAAGGUGAGGAUGACGUCAAGUCAGCAUGGCCUUUAUGUUUGGGGCUACACACGUGCUACAAUGGCCGGUACAGAAGGCAGCAAAAUCGUGAGAUGAAGCAAAUCCCGAAAGCCGGUCUCAGUUCAGAUUGUAGUCUGCAACUCGACUACAUGAAGUUGGAAUUGCUAGUAAUGGCGUGUCAGCUACAACGCCGUGAAUACGUUCCCGGGCCUUGUACACACCGCGAGC
rnacentral:rRNA from 1 species